rnacentral:rRNA from 1 species
AAUGAACGCUGGCGGCAUGCCUAACACAUGCAAGUCGAACGAAGGCUUCGGCCUUAGUGGCGCACGGGUGCGUAACGCGUGGGAAUCUGCCCCUUGGUUCGGAAUAACAGUUAGAAAUGACUGCUAAUACCGGAUGAUGACGUAAGUCCAAAGAUUUAUCGCCGAGGGAUGAGCCCGCGUAGGAUUAGCUAGUUGGUGUGGUAAGAGCGCACCAAGGCGACGAUCCUUAGCUGGUCUGAGAGGAUGAUCAGCCACACUGGGACUGAGACACGGCCCAGACUCCUACGGGAGGCAGCAGUGGGGAAUAUUGGACAAUUGGCGAAAGCCUGAUCCAGCAAUGCCGCGUGAGUGAUGAAGGCCUUAGGGUUGUAAAGCUCUUUUACCCGGGAUGAUAAUGACAGUACCGGGAGAAUAAGCUCCGGCUAACUCCGUG